rnacentral:lncRNA from 1 species
UGGGGCUGCUGUUGCUCACACUGUUUGCCUGCUCCAAAAGCGCCAUUAGGGCUGUUGGGGAGAAGAUGAAUGGAGUGACUCUGCAGCAGUUUCUGGUGACUUAGCGUUGGAGGGAAGGCAUGGCAUGGGAGUUACUGUGGCUCUUUUAUGCCAUAGUGACAACUUGGUUUCUCAUUAAGCUGGUGGUGAUCUCUUAUAGUUUUCACAAGCUGACACACAGCAUAUUGCUGUGCAGAUGGGACAAAUAA